GUUCAGCACAGCCGAAGAUUCUGUGUAGCAUGUUGAACGCAGGUGCAAACUCACUCAGAGAAACAACCGUCCACCUUUAUUUUUGGUGUUAAUGUAUUACCAGGCUGUGCUGGACUUUGUGAUCAAGCGUAUAACUAACACAAAAUGGCAGUCUUUUUCAAAAUGGCAGUAUUGAACUCCAGGAUGAAUUCCCAGUGUGGUCAACCCACUUUGAAACGUCAACCAUGCACUUUGUUUUUUCACCGCACUGUGAUCCUACUCCUUCUG